rnacentral:rRNA from 1 species
AGAACGAACGCUGGCGGCAUGCCUAACACAUGCAAGUCGAACGCUCACCGGGCUUCGGUUCGGUGGGAGUGGCGCACGGGUGAGUAGCGCGUGGGAACCUGCCCUGUUGUGGGGGAUAACCGAGGGAAACUUCGGCUAAUACCGCAUGCGCCCGGGGAAACCCGGGGAAAGAUUUAUCGCAGCAGGAGGGGCCCGCGUCGGAUUAGGUAGUUGGUAGGGUAACGGCCUACCAAGCCUUUGAUCCGUAGCUGGUCUGAGAGGAUGAUCAGCCACACUGGGACUGAGACACGGCCCAGACUCCUACGGGAGGCAGCAGUGGGAAUAUUGGACAAUGGGCGCAAGCCUGAUCCAGCAAUGCCGCGUGAGUGAUGAAGGCCUUAGGGUUGUAAAGCUCUUUCGCCCGCGACGAUGAUGGCGGUAGCGGAGAAGAAGCCCGGCUAACUUCGUGCCAGCAGCCGC